AUUGAACGCUGGCGGCAGGCCUAACACAUGCAAGUCGAGCGAGCGGCGGACAGGUGAGUAAUGUCUGUGGAACUGCCCGCUGGAGGGGGAUAACUCCUCUAAACGGUGUCUAUUACCCCAUACCAUCAGAUGUGCCCCGAUGGGAUUUGCUAGUAGGUGGGGGAAUGGCUCACCUAGGCGACGAUCCCUCGCUGGUCUGAGAGGAUGACCAGCCACACUGGAACUGAGACACGGUCCAGACUCCUACGGGAGGCAGCAGUGGGGAAUAUUGCACAAUGGGCGCAAGCCUGAUGCAGCCAUGCCGCGUGUAUGAAGAAGGCCUUCGGGUUGUAAAGCACUUUCAGCGGGGAGGCGUUACCCGCAGAAGAAGCACCGGCUAACUCCGUGCCAGCAGCCGCGGUAAUAC
rnacentral:rRNA from 1 species